rnacentral:misc_RNA from 1 species
UUUCCGUAGGUGAACCUGCGGAAGGAUCAUUGUCGAAACCUGCCCAGCAGAACGACCCGCGAACUUGUAUAAACAACCGGGGGCGGGGGGCGUUCUCGCCCCGUGCCCCCGAACGGCGGGGAGACACUCGUGCCCUCUUGCCGAACAACGAACCCCGGCGCGGUCUGCGCCAAGGAACUACAACUAAAGAGGGCCUCCGGUCGCCUCGGAAACGGCGUGCGUGCCGGGGGCGAAUCUUGUGCAAAACCAUAACGACUCUCGGCAACGGAUACCUCGGCUCUC